rnacentral:lncRNA from 1 species
AAAGGCGUAGGUGCCCGUUGCGUUGUUAUGGGAGAGUAUGUACACGAUGCCACAAGGAAAAGCAAGCGUACCAAGAUUGUUUCCACGAGGAUAGAUGAAUGAUUCGAAUGUGACAAAAUAUUAAAGACAUUGAUCGGUCAUGAAACUGAGGAUGAAGUUACCAAGGCCAGAAAAUUAGAUGAGAAGGUUCGGUUGGCAAUCAAUACUGUUAAAA